rnacentral:misc_RNA from 1 species
GAACGCACAUUGCGCCCUUUGGUAUUCCGAAGGGCAUACCUGUUCGAGCGUCAUUAUCAAAGCAUCAAGCUUGGCUUGUCGUUGGGUCCAUUGUCACCUGGUGACAGGUCCAAAAGAUAAUGACCGGUGUCGUAAAGACUCUACAUGCAACGAGCUUAUAACAGCACGCAUCUAGUAGUUGUAUAGCCCGGUUGUCACCCCUUUAUUUCUCAAGGUUGACCUCGGAUCAGGUAAGAAUACCCGCUGAACUUAAG